AGAGCUUUUCCAUGCCUUACAUCAGGAGACCCACAACGACUGUCUGCCCCACAAUUGAUUUUCUCCUGAUGGCUGACUCUCAACCUCUCCUCUCCCUUGAUGGGGACCCUGUGGCUGCAGAAGCCUUGCUCCAGGAUGUGUUUAGGAUUGUGGUGGAUGAGGUCAUUCGAAAAGGGACCAAUGCCUCUGAGAAGGUCUGUGAGUGGAAGGAGCCCGAGGAGCUGAAGCAGCUGCUGGACUUGGAGCUGCGGCACGAGGGCGAGUCACAGGAGCAGAUCCUGGAGCGCUGCCGGGCCGUGAUCCGCUACAGCGUGAAGACCUGUCACCCUCGUUUCUUCAACCAGCUCUUCGCAGGGUUGGAUCCCCAUUCCCUGGCCGGGCGCAUUGUCACAGAGAGCCUCAACACCAGCCAGUACACGUACGAAAUUGCCCCUGUGUUUGUCCUCAUGGAGGAGGAGGUGCUGAAGAAACUCCGGGCCCUGGUGGGCUGGAGCUCUGGGGACGGGGUCUUCUGCCCUGGUGGCUCCAUCUCCAACAUGUAUGCUGUGAACCUGGCCCGCUAUCAGCGAUACCCAGACUGCAAACAGAGGGGCCUCCGGGCACUGCCGCCCCUGGCCCUCUUCACAUCGAAAGAGUGUCAUUAUUCCAUCAAGAAAGGAGCUGCUUUUCUGGGACUUGGCACCGACAGUGUCCGAAUGGUCAAGGCAGAUGAGAGAGGGAAAAUGAUCCCUGAGGAUCUGGAGAGGCAGAUCAGCUUGGCCAAGGCCGAGGGCGCUGUGCCAUUCCUGGUCAGUGCCACCUCUGGUACUACCGUGCUGGGGGCCUUUGACCCCCUGGAGGCGAUCGCGGAUGUGUGCCAGCAUCACGGGCUAUGGCUGCAUGUGGAUGCUGCCUGGGGUGGGAGCGUCCUGCUGUCACAGACACACAGACAUCUCCUGGCUGGGAUCCAGAGGGCUGACUCCGUGGCCUGGAAUCCCCACAAGCUCCUCUCCGCAGGCCUGCAGUGCUCAGCUCUUCUUCUCCGGGACACCUCGAACCUGCUCAAGCGCUGUCACGGGUCCCAGGCCAGCUACCUCUUCCAGCAGGACAAGUUCUACGACGUGGCUCUGGACACCGGAGACAAGGUGGUGCAGUGUGGCCGCCGCGUGGACUGUCUGAAGCUGUGGCUCAUGUGGAAGGCACAGGGCGGGCAGGGGCUGGAGCGCCGUGUGGACCAGGCCUUUGCCCUUGCCCGGUACCUGGUGGAGGAGCUGAAGAAGCGGGAGGGAUUUGAGUUGGUCAUGGAGCCUGAAUUUGUCAAUGUGUGUUUCUGGUUCGUGCCCCCCAGUCUGCGGGGGAGGAAGGAGGAUCCAGAUUACAGUGAAAGGCUGUCUAAGGUACCCCCCCUCCUCUUUUCUGGCACAAGACGGACUGUGGCCAGGGCUUCAUUUGGCACCCACAAAUCCCACCACCCGAUUCUCUCUCCUUCUGGUUUGACUUUCUCAUAUAAGGCUCUCAUACCCUGGGUCUAAAUAAGGAUGAGCCAGAAGUCCUGGGCAGUAGAGCAGCUUUCUCAGAAGUGGGACCUAAGAGAACGCCGAUUGACUAAGGCCCAGAGAGCCCAGUUGGCGGCUGGAGGUGUGCCCUGUGGGCAAGAUGGGCUUAGAAAGUUGGAGCUUUUAUGAGGCUCUUGCACCUGCUGGCUUCAUUCAACCAACCAAGAGGACUGAGUUCACAGCAGCAGGCCUCACCUCCUCUGGCCCAAAGUGUCCCGGGUACCGUCUCUCUCAGGAAAGAGUAGCUUUUCAUCAGGAGCCUGACCUGAGGUGGAAUAGAAAUGAGGUUAAGGUGCUUUGGGACUGAACAGAUCACUUAACCUCUCUGUGCUCACGUUUACACCGGGAGAGGGGCAGGCAGAUUGUAAACUUUGUAUGGUCAACGCCCAUACUAUUAUCUUUUUGUUGGACAGUCUUAUAACCUAACACAGACGGCUGCUGGGAUGAAUCUAGGGUAAAGGAGUACUGGAAAGGGCAGAGCCUCUAGCCGGCCAACUCCCUUCGACUAUAUGAGUAUAUUUGCACAGCAGUGUCCAUUUGUUUACAUUUCUUUGGAGACUGCUGGUUGUCUCAAAUCUGUCGCAAAGGACUCUGCCCCUGAUAAUUAGCUCCACCCCCACCAAUACAGUAUCCAAUGCCCUCUCUCCCAGGGGCCCCACCCCACCAUUGGUCCUGCCCAUCACCCACCUGCUCAAAGACUAGCACACAGCGGGAGGCUGGCGGGAGCUGAUAGUCCACUGCCACGUGGACCGGGAGGAUGCCGAGCACGGCGGCGUGGGCAGCCAGCAGCAAGCAGCCCAGGCCCACCCCCAGGGUCCAGGCCCCUCCAGACUUGGGCCUCUCCCACAGCCGCAGGGCCUGGUAGGGCACCAGCAGAGUGGACAGGAACAUGGGGACCCAUGUCACCAGAGCCAAGGGCAGCUGUCCGAAGCUGAAGUCAGAGCUCUUGGAAGACACGCUGCUGAGCCCACGUGCCACAACUACUGAAGCUCUCGGGCCCUUGAGCCCGUGCCCUGCAGCAAGAGAAGCCACCACAAUGAGAAGCCCUUUUGCACCACAACUAGAGUAGCCCCUGCUCUCC